GAACGCGUAGCGGGACGGCCUAACACAUGCAAGCCGAGGCGGUAGAGUAUUCUUCGGAAUCUUGAGAGCGGCGUACGGGUGCGGAACACGUGUGCAACCUACCUUUAUCUGGAGGAUAGCCUUUCGAAAGGAAGAUUAAUACUCCAUAAUAUAUUGAUUGGCAUCGAUUGAUAUUGAAAGCUCCGGCGGAUAGAGAUGGGCACGCGCAAGAUUAGCUAGUUGGUGAGGUAACGGCUCACCAAGGCGAUGAUCUUUAGGGGCCUGAGAGGGUGAUCCCCCACACUGGUACUGAGACACGGACCAGACUCCUACGGGAGGCAGCAGUGAGGAAUAUUGGUCAAUGGGUGCAAGCCUGAACCAGCCAUCCCGCGUGAAGGACGACUGCCCUAUGGGUUGUAAACUUCUUUUGUAUAGGGAUAAACCUACCCUCGUGAGGGUAGCUGAAGGUACUAUACGAAUAAGCACCGGCUAACUCCGUG
rnacentral:rRNA from 1 species